rnacentral:rRNA from 1 species
AACUCGAUGACCCACGUAUACUCAGCCCACUCUUGACACCAGCAUGUAUACUGCCGUUGUAAGCGCACCUCUAAAAGUUAGUGUGCCACCAUGAUUUUCCCACACACAUCAGGUCAAAGUGCAGCCAAUGAGGGGGUGAUGAUGGGUUACAACCCCAAUAAUGACAUAGACUAAGAGAUAAAAAAUCUUACAAAAGUGGACUUGGCUGUAAUCUACUUACAAGUUAAAAAAAUGAAUACCAUCUAAGACAUGUACACAUCGCCCGUCACUCUGCCCCCAAGGGCAGAUAAGUCGUAACAAAGUAGGUGUAAUGGAAAUUGCACCUGUCGAAGUAUAGCAUAUAUAAUGCCUUUUAUUUACACUAAAACUAAAGUAAGACUUGCUUCGCCCAAGUAAAAAAUCAUAUAAAAGAUAAAUAAUAAAAACACUAACACUAAUAAUUAAUAGUACAUUAAUGGAAAUAAAAUUUGACUAAAGUAAUUUUUAACAAAUAUACCUCGUGCAUUAUGGUUUUACAAGAAAAUAAUUAAAACACUAAACCCGAAUUCUAAAUGAGAUGUUAAAACGCUGCUAAGCGCCCACUAGUAACUGUAGAAAAAGAUUUAAAAGACGAAUUAACAGAGGCUACAUACCAUACGCAUUAGAAUAUAGCUGGUUUUCAACAAACAUUAUAUAUUAAAACAUGUAGUAUACUACAAUGCUAAUUUACUGAGGACAAGCCCAGUAAUUCAAGCUAUAAAUAGAUGAACUAAACAACUCUAGGCCUAAAAACAGCCACAAAAAAAACUUUAUCGUACUACCAAUAAAUAAAUAGUUAUUCAUAUAUGCUUUAAAAAGUUGAAAUGGUGGAAAAACCUCAAUCCACUUUUAAUAUGUAAAAAUAAGUAUUUAAAAAAAUAAUUCUCACAAUUAACUAAUAAUUCCAAAUAUUUAUAUCAUAACUAAUUAAGGAACUCGGCAACCAAAUAUUCGACUGUUUCACAAAAACAUUGUCUCAUGUAAUAUAUAUGA